rnacentral:rRNA from 1 species
UACGUAGGGUGCGAGCGUUGUCCGGAAUUAUUGGGCGUAAAGGGCUCGUAGGCGGUUUGUCGCGUCGGGAGUGAAAUCCACUGGCUUAACUGGUGGCUUGCUUUCGAUACGGGCAGACUGGAGGUAUGCAGGGGGAGAACGGAAUUCCUGGUGUAGCGGUGGAAUGCGCAGAUAUCAGGAGGAACACCAAUGGCGAAGGCGGGUCUCUGGGCCGAUACUGACGCUGAGGAGCGAAAGCGUGGGGAGCGAACAGG